GGUCCAGCCUGCCCAGUGACAAAGUUCAACGGCCGCGGUACCCUAACCGCGCGAAGGUAGCAUAAUCACUUGUUCCUUAAAUAGGGACUAGUAUCAACGGCAUCACGAGGGUCCCACUGUCUCCUCUCUCUAAUCAACGAAACUGAUCUCUCCGUGAAGAAGCGGAGAUUAUAAUAUAAGACGAGAAGACCCCAUGGAGCUUUAAACCUAAUUACACCUCUAUUAACUACACCCUCUUAAUUAACAGACCUCUGUAUGACGGCUUUAGGUUGGGGUGACCGCGGAGAAUAAAUUAACCUCCACGAUGAACUGGACUAACCCACUAUCAAAGAGAUACACCUCUAAGAAUUAGCAUACUAACGUAAAAUGAUCCGAUAAUCGAUUAACGAACCAAGUUACCCUGGGGAUAACAGCGCAAUCCACUUUAAGAGCUCCUAUCGACAAGCGGGUUUACGACCUCGAUGUUGGAUCAGGGUAUCCUAGUGGUGCAGCAGCUACUAAAGGUUCGUUUGUUCAACGAUUAAAACCCU
rnacentral:rRNA from 1 species